rnacentral:rRNA from 1 species
UACGUAGGGUGCGAGCGUUAAUCGGAAUUAUUGGGCGUAAAGCGCACGUAGGCGGUUCGUUAUGUCAGAUGUGAAAGCCCUUGGCUCAACUGAGGAAGUGCAUCUGAAACUGGCGAGCUAGAGUAUGUAAGAGGGUCGCGGAAUUCCCGGUGUAGAGGUGAAAUUCGUAGAUAUCGGGAGGAACACCGGUGGCGAAGGCGGCGACCUGGGACAAUACUGACGCUGAGGUGCGAAAGCGUGGGGAGCAAACAGG